UUGGGGGCAGGGUGGGUGGGGAUGAGGAUGGUGUAUUACUCCUUCCAAGUGAAAGGAAUUUAGGUGUAGCAGGGUAUUGAUACUUUCAAUGUUAGGGUCCUUGCCCCAUGGUCUUUGAGCAAACUUUCAGCACUCUUCUUUGGCUUACUGCUUCCCGAGCUUUUGUUAAGAUUGUCAGGUACGUCUGCUGGAGGCUUGGGAAGGGUCGGCAGUAGUUGUUGGUGCACCUAAAUAGGGCUUAUUAAGCUAGAGGAUCUUUGGGCCUUAAAAUUUGGUGCAUGCUGUCAGUCAUCCCUUUUAUUUUUUGAACUCAGAGUGGUUAACUACAUUUUGAUAGUUUCCUUUAUUCUUUUCACUGCUUUCUGUUUAGUUGUUCUGACCAUGCCUAUGGAAAUUCUUUGGAUCGUAAUGUAUGCUCCGUUGCAUCGUUCUUGGCAAUAGUGGCUUUGCUACUUUUGCAUUCUCUUGAGCUGGCUUUAAGUUUGAGAAUUUUCCUGUGGUCUUGCACUUUGCCUGACAACCUGUUACCCAUCUGUUUUUCACUAUUUCUCUGACUUCUAUGUUUUUAUAUCCUUCCUUUUUUGUUUGCAUAUGUUCUUUUUUUGCUCAUUUUGUUUUCUCUUUUCUUUCUAUUGCUUUAUUGAGCCAACUGAGUAUUCUGGAAUAAGAGAUGAUACCUUUAUUAUCCGAGUUUUGCUCUUUUCACUGCAUGCCCAGUGUCCCACAUUAUCCUCUGUCUCACGCUUUCUUUCCUAGGUUCAUAACUCCAGGAAUUUUGCAUAUGAGCCUCAAUUUUCCUGCUCAACCUUGCAGUGGCAGGCACAAAGUGCUGCACCUGAUCAGAUGUGGAAGCAAGUGGACAAGAGGAUCAUGCUCUGCAAUACACAUACCCCUCACUACUUUCAGCUUCAGUGUCCUGAAGAACAGUUCCCUUCUGGAUCUUUAGAAAGCUUCUGCCUGCACACUUCUCCUAGGGAGAACACAGAUUCUCCAAUAAAAUAUCAUAUCCAUCUGCA
rnacentral:lncRNA from 1 species